UUGUUAUUCCUAUCUAUUUCUUUAAAAGUUAAGGAAGUUGAUGGCUUACUGCCAAUACUAUAAUCUCUCUCCUUAUGGCUUGUCCAACGUUCCAACUUUGAGCGUCCUCUUCUCGAAUCUUGUAGUUCAUCAUCAGACGAUGCAUCUUCCUUGCGUCUUUUGGGAGAGUUGAGUUGCACUGCAAUAUCAUUCUCCACAUUUCCUUUCUCAGCCACACCAUUCAACCCCAUCUCAUCAGUGUGACCACUGUGAUCC
rnacentral:misc_RNA from 1 species